GGUUUCUUGUUUAUAUAAGAGAUUUAACCUGCCCACUGAAAUUUAUUUAAAGGGCCGCAGUAUUUUGACUGUGCAAAGGUAGCAUAAUCAUUAGUCUUUUAAUUAAGGGCUUGUAUGAAUGGUUGGACGAGGUGAUAUCUAUUCUAUUAAUAUUUGAAUUUGAAUUUAAAUUUUAAGUAAAAAUGCUUAAAUAAUAAUAAGGGACGAGAAGACCCUAUAGAGUUUAAUAUAUUAAAUUUUAAUUGAGUUAAUAUAUAAUUUUAGAUUGUUUUUGAUUAUAUUUAAUUGGGGUGAUUAAAAGAUAUUUGGAACUCUUUUUUAUUUUUAAUAUUUAUGAUUAGUUUUUUGAUCCAUUAAUGAUGAUUAUAAGAUUAAAUUACCUUAGGGAUAACAGCAUAAUUUCUUUUGAGAGUUCAAAUCGAAAAGGAAGAUUGUGACCUCGAUGUUGGAUUAAGAUAAAUUUUGGGUGUAGAUGUUCAAAUGUUAGGUCUGUUCGACCUUUAAAUUCUUACA
rnacentral:rRNA from 1 species